rfam:Pseudomonas syringae pv. tomato str. DC3000, complete genome.
GGGAUGCGAGGCAGGACGCCGAGCAAGCCGCACCGGGCCAUGGAUGGCCCGUUGCGGCGGCCCC